GUACCACCUGACCCCAUGCCGAACUCAGAAGUGAAACGCCGUAGCGCCGAUGGUAGUGUGGGGUCUCCCCAUGCGAGAGUAGGGAACUGCCAGGC
rnacentral:rRNA from 1 species